rnacentral:rRNA from 1 species
UACGGGGGGGGGCAAGCGUUGUUCGGAAUUACUGGGCGUAAAGCGCGCGUAGGUGGCCAUGUAAGUCCGCUGUGAAAGUCAAAGGCUCAACCUUUGAAAGCCGGUGGAUACUGCAUGGCUAGAGUACGGAAGAGGCGAGUGGAAUUCCUGGUGUAGCGGUGGAAUGCGCAGAUAUCAGGAGGAACACCAAUAGCGAAGGCAGCUCGCUGGGACGUUACUGACACUGAGGCGCGAAAGCGUGGGGAGCGAACAGG